CCCUAGCCCCGAUAGAGGCGGUAUCCUUUUUAAGGCAAUUUUUCUUUGCCUUAAAAAGAUAUAGCCGAAAGCGGGAUUGGCU
rnacentral:sRNA from 1 species